rnacentral:rRNA from 1 species
UGAGUAAUCUGCCCUUCACUUCGGGAUAACCGCCGGAAACGGUGGCUAAUACCGGAUACGACCUUCUCUCGCAUGAGAUGUAGGUGGAAAGUCUUUUCGGUGAAGGAUGUGCUCGCGGCCUAUCAGCUUGUUGGUGAGGUAACGGCUCACCAAGGCUUCGACGGGUAGCCGGCCUGAGAGGGUGACCGGCCACACUGGGACUGAGACACGGCCCAGACUCCUACGGGAG